CUCUCCUACAAAGGCGUGUCUGUGGCUCCCUGUCUUUGGACACGUAAGAAUUGGAGGCAAAGAAACGUGGAUUGAGGAAUCUGGAGCCUUCUUGCUCCUUGCAGGACUCAAGAUCCACCAUCCCAUAUAG
ensembl:snoRNA